CCUGAGGUGUUUACAUGCUGCAUAGCGACUGUGAUGUUGCCGUUCUUGAGCUGAGCAUAGAGCCCAGGGCUUAGAGCCUGUGGGCUGCCUGACAGCACGGUUCCUCAUCCCAGGUCAAUAUGGCCUUGUCUGUUUCACAUUAUACGGUCCUCCGUGUUUGUUAUCCAUGAGAUCACUGUGCCCCAGAGGGUGAUGAAAUCUUCAUGUCAUGUAACUUUGGUGCAUGAUGGAGCAGAUAUUUGCAUGGUGGACUGCUUUUCCUAGGACUGUGCUUUCGCUGUUUAGCACCGACCUAGGAUAAGAUCUGAUUGGAAAUGUGACGGGAUGAGAAGACAUGGAUAAAAGGUAGCCCUGGUACCUGGUGUUUAUCUGCUGGGCAGUAAAUGUUGGAUCUGGCCGUCACUUGAGGAGGCACUGGGGAGGAGAGGUGGGGUGAACCAGGCCGGGAGAGUGCUUGCUGUCAGAAAGAUGAUCUCUAGCACGGAAGGUGCAUAUUGACAGAUAAUAUAUAUUGAAAUAUGAUUGUGAUGUGCUUAAUGCUUUUGUGUUCAUUGGUCCCAUACGCCAGCCUGGACUGACAAGUGCCCGUGUAUCAACAAGGGACAGUUGAACAGUGAUAGUGUUUUUUCAGGAAAUAUCUUUCAGUUGUUUUUUUGUUGUUGUUUGUUUGUUUGUUUGAAGAGUGAACAAUUGUAUGUUUGACCCAGUGUUCCCUGACAUUCAGCUGUGAGAUCCCGGAGCUUUUGGACAGAAAAGCUUGUGGCCAAGGCUCAUGGGUGGCUCUGCUGCCCCCAAGUGGUGUGGGAACCUGGGAGAAUCUCCCUAUCUCCAUGAACCACAGUGUCUUCAUCAGGAAGAUAAAGUCCUUCCAAUACUCGAAAUUCCUCUCCUGCUGAGUUUUUUUGUUUUUGUUUUUUCUUUCCCUGCAUGCCUGUGGGUCCGAGAUGCAUGUUGCAUGUGCCCUGGGAACUGCAGCCAAGUCUUGACUUUGGUCCCUUGUCUGUGCUUUUCCUGCAGGAGCCUGAACUGAGUCCACACACUGAACUCACAGACCUGCAGGGGGAGAUGGAAGAAAGAAAAUCAACAGGUUUUGAGGAUGAGAAGAACCCAAGUAAUGGCAGAGGAGGUGCUGUGCAAGAGAGCUGCAUGGCCUUUCCUGGCUCCAUGGCCCUGAUUCAGCCAGAUUCGAGGCUCUCAGGGUGCAGAUGACACCCGGACUCCAUGUUGCCUUAAAGCAGUCCACACUGCCCAGGUCUCCAGAGAAAACCGCAAAGAUCUGUAACUCCGACUAUGUCUUGGGGAAGUGGAGAAAUAAUGAGGCAAGUUUAGUAUGUCUUCUAGGGUCAUACUGUCAUGAUGACUGGUGAUUUUUUGUUUUCUCUCUGAGAAGUUAAAUACUUUCCACACGUGCAGAUUCUCUCCCUAUUGAGCUCCAUGAAAGCAUUCAGUGCGCCCUUCUGCGAGAUGUGUUGUACUGAUUCCUUGCGGGGGAUGGAAGGGGAGGGUGGGAAUCCUUCCUGAAAAGAGUGUGAAGAUGGCAUUUCCCAGCUCAGCCUGGGUGUCUGUAGGCGAGAACAUCAAUGGCAGAAACCACCAGGCUCCUCCUGGUGAAAGGAGAGGUACAAACAGGAGCAGUGACAGUGCCUGGCUUUUGCUUCCUGAAGCAUCAGGUCACAGGCCUCUAGAGACCCUCCCUCAGGAAGUGUCCCAGGUGCCAAGUGUCCUAGGUGAGUGUCACGGUUGUUCGUGUGGGCUCCCUCCCUGUGUUCAUUUCAUAGCUUCUGGUAGAGUGUAGCACAUUCCAAAGAAUAAGCAGAGGGUUGGACUAGGACAGAUGGACUCGUGUGGUUGGACAGUGAAUCUCAAACAUUUUAAGAUCCCACUCAGAAAGUGACCUUUCAGGGAACGGAAUGCAUGGUGGGCUUUAGUGUCAUGUAAUGUGAGAACAUUCAAUGCAUUUAGCAUCAUCUGGUGACUUGUGAAGGCAACAGCUUCUUCAGGUGACCCCAGUGAUGGCCCUACCUUCCAAAGAACAAAGAGAGCCACUGGCUUCCCCUGUUCUUAUGGGAACAGCAGGCCCUUUAAUGAAAAAAGCUGGGACCAUGGCUCUUCCUCUAGGGCUAUGGAAUCAAGGAGAUCCCAUGGCAGGUGACCUAGGAUGAGGUAGAGGAGAUUUUUAUGACCAUGGCUCAAGGGGUGGAGAAAAAUGGUGGAGGCUUUUGAAGCCACACGUGAGUAGGCUCAGAGGGACAUCACAUCUGAGAAAACAUGUUUAGCAAAACUAUGCACCUCGCGCUUUAUAAAUAUUUAUCCCAUGAUUUGCCGUCAUUGUGUACGUAACUAAGCUCUAUUGUAUUAGAGGAGUAGUGACUGGUUCGAGGAGGUCAGGAAUCUUCAUAUCAGCACACACACCUGAAAUGGAAGUGGUAUGUCUUUGGGGAAAAGGUCAAACUAAUAAAGAAGUUAUUUCUCAUUUUCUGAUUUUUGUU
ensembl:lncRNA